rnacentral:rRNA from 1 species
GCGGGAGGCGAAAGCUUUGAACUCUUACAAACGCAUUGUAUGUCUUGUGAAUGUAAUGCUCCUUUGUGGGCGAAAUGAAAUACAACUUUCAACAACGGAUCUCUUGGCUCUCGCAUCGAUGAAGAACGCAGCGAAAUGCGAUAAGUAAUGUGAAUUGCAGAAUUCAGUGAAUCAUCGAAUCUUUGAACGCACCUUGCGCCCCUUGGUAUUCCGAGGGGCAUGCCUGUUUGAGUGUCAUGUUAAUCUCAAACCACAAGUCUAUUAUAGACUUGGUUGGUUUGGACUUGGAGGUUUGUUGCUGGCUUACAAGUCGGCUCCUCUGAAAUGCAUUAGCUGGACUUUGGUUCGCAUUUACGGUGUAAUAGUAACUUGUUCGCCGGGGUGCUUGCCUAAGAAGUCUGCUUCUAAUCGCCCUCCUUCCCGGGCAAGGUCUUUGACCUUCUUGAACACUUUGACCUCAAAUCAGGUAGGACUACCCGCUGAACUUAAGCAUAUCAAUAAGCGGAGGAAAAGAAA